CUACCAUGCAGUCGGACGGUAGCACAGAGAGCUUGCUCUCGGGUGACGAGUGGCGGACGGGUGAGUAAUGUCUGGGGAUCUGCCCGAUAGAGGGGGAUAACCACUGGAAACGGUGGCUAAUACCGCAUAACGUCGCAAGACCAAAGAGGGGGACCUUCGGGCCUCUCACUAUCGGAUGAACCCAGAUGGGAUUAGCUAGUAGGCGGGGUAAUGGCCCACCUAGGCGACGAUCCCUAGCUGGUCUGAGAGGAUGACCAGCCACACUGGAACUGAGACACGGUCCAGACUCCUACGGGAGGCAGCAGUGGGGAAUAUUGCACAAUGGGCGCAAGCCUGAUGCAGCCAUGCCGCGUGUAUGAAGAAGGCCUUCGGGUUGUAAAGUACUUUCAGCGGGGAGGAAGGGGAUGCGGUUAAUAACCGCGUCCAUUGACGUUACCCGCAGAAGAAGCACCGGCUAACUC
rnacentral:rRNA from 1 species